rnacentral:tRNA from 1 species
GGUCCGCUGGCUCAAUGGCAGAGCGUCUGACUACGAAUCAGGAGGUUCCAGGUUCGACCCCUGGGUGGAUC